rnacentral:rRNA from 1 species
AACUAGAGUCUUGUAGAGGGGGGUAGAAUUUCAGGUGUAGCGGUGAAAUGCGUAGAGAUCUGAAGGAAUACCGGUGGCGAAGGCGGCCCCCUGGACAAAGACUGACGCUCAGAUGCGAAAGCGUGGGGAGCAAACAGGAUUAGAUACCCUGGUAGUCCACGCCGUAAACGAUGUCUACUCGGAAUUUGGUACCUU